AGAGAGAGAGAGAGAGAGAGAGAGAGAGAGAGAGAGAGAGAGAGAGAGAUUUUGAAUAUGAAGAAAGACUGAAUUUUAUUAAAAGUGCCAGUUAUACCUCAGUCAUCAAAGCUCUGAAUUCAUGAUUAUUUCAUAUAUUUAUGGUGGAGCAUAAAAAUACGCCAUAUAGACCUGUGAGGUGUAAAAAAUAAUAAUUCAUUGCUCUUGGAUUAGUAACAAAUCACUAUCGAGCCUAAGCCUCUACAGCAUCUGCUGAUCUAAAGUAGCAUUAUCUAGAUGAUCUGACUGUGGUUUGUGGUAAAUCAAUACAGAGGCCCGUGUAGCCAUUACUCCUGGUAUUGUCCACAUAUAUAACGUUACAAAUGCAGACUGGUAGUGUGUACAUAAAUACACGAAACUCUGGUGACCUAUGAUGCAUACAGAUGAAAAUGUUGAUUUGGUUAAUUUGAGCAAUUUUCAAAUACAAUACAGGCAUAAUCAAAUUAAACUGAAUAAUCCCAGAACCCGGUGGUUUUCUGCUUACAGACUAAACCACACUACUAAUUAAUGAAAUCAAAAGUAGAAUAUUAAAGGGCAGUACACCAUUCACUUAAUUAUUGGCGGAAAAGCGUUGAACAAUAAAAAUGUCCUCGGGUUUUCUGCUUUAAUGGUUAAAGGUUUUGAUUUAGCGGAAUAUAAACACUGUUGAAGUAAGGAAUUUCGCAGUAUUUUAAAGCAUGCACCCAGUUCCGAGUUAUAAUUGUGUGCAACAUCAAAAUGCACACUAGGUCAUAUUACAACCUGAUAUUGUCAGUCAUGCUUCGGACCAACGCAGAAGAACAUCGAACUUUAAUGAUUUUUAAACGAAUUGCUAUCAUGCAAUGGUAGAUUACGUGCGCACGAGCUGGCGUUAAGAUAGAAAUCCUGUAAUGCUUUUCGAUAUAUUGAAGACAAUUACAAAGGGGAGGAUCAAGUUUAUUUUUUGUCGCCAAAAACUACCUCAUACUCAGUCAUCUUUUCAAGCCAGGCGUUUCCGGUCCGCUCUGCUUUCCAUGUAUGGGAUUAGGAGUAGGCCAAAAUCCUUGGCUUGCAGAGACGACUCCUAGCUUAGUGACCCUAUUGAAAUGACUUGCAUGAAUCGCAUCACACACAUGUGAAUUUGCAUCGGUCAAUAAAGAGAUUCUUAAUUUCCAUAGUCAUCAAUAUCUCUUCACCGGUUGUGUUUGGGAGGGUGUGAGGGAUAUUUUUGUUGUUUGAUCCAAUAUUUGCACAUGCAACUUAAUUAUUUCAUUAGGACUCUAUUCUUUUUCAUAGCUCUGGGAUCUGACGUAAAGGCGCUAGGGAACGUUUUGGAGGAGGAAGCGAAAGAAAAUAAAGUUAUCCUAGACUUGUUGAGGACCAAAUUGGCCUCUGCUGGUGUAAGUAUGAGACAUCGUAAAACUCAGGUCAAUUCUGUUUUUUAUUUAGGGCAGUGUAAUACACAAUAUGUCCAUUCCAAUUAGUAUGUUGAUAUCGGGACAAUUUAUUGGAGGAUUUCUAUAGAAUGAUAUUAAAACCUUGUAGUAAAGGAUUUGUCCAAUGUUUAUUCCGUAUUAAGACAGUGUAUAUCUCAAUUUGUUGUUUAUCAUAUUGAUGAUGAAACAUGGUACACAUAUUAAGUAAAGUUUUUGUCCUGUCCAUCAUUCAUUCUGUGGAUGAAAUGAUUCUAUUGUAAAGUAAACUAGAGUAUACUACAUGUACAUGCAGGGACAAUUAAGUAUAUCUAUGUACAUGUUUUGUUCAACACAUUAUCGCGGUUUAUGGAAACUGUAACACGUUGUGUAUUCAUUCUUUCGAUGUAAUUACAGUAAUACUCUGCAGUGCAGGAUUUCGGUGCUAUGACAGCAUUUUACAGUACAUGUAUUUCACUAUUAUACAUUUGAUUAGUUAUUCUGACGGGUUUUCUCCAUUGUUUACAGGUUGCAGGAGAGGUGAAACCUCUCGUGGGAAAACCCGGUGAAACAGUUGUCCACGAGGCGCAUGAACAAAACGCUGACGUCAUACUAUGUGGGUCACGGGGCCACGGGAAACUACGCAGGACAUUCAUGGGUAGCGUCAGUGACUACAUCGUGCAUCAUUCCCACGUGCCUGUCGUUGUAUGUCGUCAUAAGAACCAUCACCAUGGUCACGGACACCAUCAUUGAAUGACGUCAUUUCGAGACAAACCGUUGUUUUUCAUGAAUAGGCUAUAUACAAAUAUCCGGUUGUGUUAUUUUCAUUGCAUGACGUGAACACUUUGUGUUUCUGAAUUCUCUGUAAACGUUUUUCUCAGUGGAUUUUUUUUACUAACAACGAUUGUGUUUGAAUAUGCUGUUUACACUAUAUCUGAUGAAGCAAUAAAUGCCAUUUAAAAUUG
rnacentral:misc_RNA from 1 species